UACGGAGGAUGCAAGCGUUAUCCGGAUUCAUUGGGUUUAAAGGGUGCGUAGGCGGAAUACUAAGUCAGUAGUGAAAUCCUGCAGCUUAACUGUAGAACUGUUAUUGAUACUGGUAUUCUUGAAUGCAGUUGAGGUAGGCGGAAUGUGUAAUGUAGCGGUGAAAUGCUUAGAUAUUACACAGAACACCGAUUGCGAAGGCAGCUUACUAAACUGUGAUUGACGCUGAGGCACGAAAGCGUGGGGAGCAAACAGG
rnacentral:rRNA from 1 species